CUACGUGCCAGCAGCCGCGGUAAUACGGAGGGUGCGAGCGUUAAUCGGAAUAACUGGGCGUAAAGGGCACGCAGGCGGCUAUUUAAGUGAGGUGUGAAAUCCCCGGGCUUAACCUGGGAAUUGCAUUUCAGACUGGGUAGCUAGAGUACUUUAGGGAGGGGUAGAAUUCCACGUGUAGCGGUGAAAUGCGUAGAGAUGUGGAGGAAUACCGAAGGCGAAGGCAGCCCCUUGGGAAUGUACUGACGCUCAUGUGCGAAAGCGUGGGGAGCAAACAGGAUUAGAUACCCUGGUAGUCCACGCUGUAAACGCUGUCGAUUUGGGGAUUGGGCUUUAAGCUUGGUGCCCGUAGCUAACGUGAUAAAUCGACCGSCCUGGGGAGUACGGCCGCAAGGUUAAAACUCAAAUGAAUUGACGGGGGCCCGCACAAGCGGAGGAACAUGUGGUUUAAUUCGAUGAUACGCGAGGAACCUUACCCGGGAUUGAA
rnacentral:rRNA from 1 species